AUAUAUUUGUUGUUCAAGUGGGAACUCCACUCUUGAAAAGAUGGGGAACUCCUGCCUUAUCUUAGUUACCUCUCACACCUUUUAAAAAUUUUUUUUAAUUUUUUAAAAAAUUUUUUCCUCUCAUACCUUUUAAGCAAGUGAGUCAUAGUUGUCUAACUAAACAGUCCUUUGUUGUUAUUUUGCUCUAUAGUCAAGUGGGACGACUCAGCUGUAGCCAUUCCCUGGCAGCUUGAGCACUGGAACAGCCUCUCUUGCCAGCCUGCAAGGAUUCUGUUUAUGCAGAGACCUCAGGAAUGGAACAGCAUCCUUCUGGAGAUCACAGAGGAGGGCUGAAUCCACAGCCAGGUAAAGGGUCCAAAUGAAGGGAGCGUCAGCAAGUCCAGUGGUGUCUUCUUGGACCACAAGCAGACAAGUGGCGGAAGCUCACAGGUACUGAUGUUC
rnacentral:lncRNA from 12 species